AUGGCGGGGCGAGGUGUGGUCAAAGAACCAAGGAAUCGAUUAGUGCUGGGCGUCGAGGUCGGCGGCGCCGAUGAAUGUGCCGUGGAAGCCGUAGGGGACCCGGGACGGCAGCUGCACGGUAGCCUCGAGCCGCAUGUCGGCGGCGUUCACGACCAGGAGCUCCGAGGUGCCGGCGGCCUCGUCGCGCACGAAGGACAGCACGUAGCCGUCGUCCUCGGCGCCGGGGCGGGCGUGCUCGCCGUCCAUGGGCACGAAGCACGGCUCGCCGCCGAACCGGCCCUCGCCGUACUCGAACUUGGUGAGCUCGCCGGUCACCAGGUCCACCUUGGCGAACCCGGACACCUUGGGCCACGGCUCGGCCACGGCCAGGUAGGCGUACCUCGUCUUCCGGCCCAGCAUGUUGCGGUUCACCAUGCCGACCUCGAGGUUCACCUGGCUCUCCAGCGGCAGGAUGGCCCGCCGCGUGGACUCGCCGGUGCGCGUGUUGAGCCGGAUCUCGGUGAGCACGCUCUCGAGGUGGUCGUCCGUGUCGUUGAAGAUGGAGUCGGCCGGGGUCAUGCAGGAGCCGAUCACCACCACCUCGUCCGUCUCCGGCUCCUCCCACGAGUUCCAGAGGUGGAAGCAGAAGCAGUCGGGCACGUCCACCCACAUCAUCUCCGACGACUCCUUGGCGUACUUGGGGAGGACGCCGAAGCGGGAGGUCUUCUCCUUGUCGAGCAUCACCGGCGAGCCGCCGCGGAACAUCUCGGCGAGCUUGAACACCAUCUGGUGGUCGGGCACGACAACGAAGUUCUCGGUGAUGGCGAAGUCGUGGAUCAUGGUGGGCUGGUCGAGCUCGAUCUCGACGUCGGCGGACUUGGUGCCGUCGGCGUGGAAGUAGAAGUACUUGAGGUACGGCUUCUUGAUGACAUCGUAGCUGAGCGCGAAGAGCUCGCCGGAGACGGGGUCGAGCUUGGGGUGCGCGAUCAUGGCGCAGUCGAGCUGGCCGUCGAAGUCGUAGCGGCCGACGGUCUCGAGGUCGCCGGCGGCGGUGACGCGGACCUGGUACGGGAGGUCGUCCUCGGACAUGGCGAGGAGGCGGCCGUUGAAGUAGACGAGGCCGGCGUUGGCGACGCCGGUGCCGUGGGACGGGUCGACAAGGCCGCAGGCGCCGCGCGCGUAGAACAGAGCCAGCCUCGCGAUGCCAGAGUGGCCGUGGAGCUCGCCAAUGGUCUUAGGGAAAACCGGCCUCCCAACGGCGCGCUCCUGGGAGAGGCGGGCGGUCUCGGUGAAGCGGCAGGCGUAGGACUCGGCGGCGCCGUUGCGGAUGCGGAUGGCGUGGACCAUGCCGUCGCCGUCGAAGAGGUGGUGCCCGGCCGUGGGCUCGAAGCAGGGGUUGGCGCCGUUGCGUGCGUAGACGCCGUUGAUGAAGGGCGGGAUGCGGCCGGAGACCGGGAGCGCGCGCACGGGGGCCUGCUCGCCGACGGGGGCGAAGUUGCCGGCGAUCUGCACGGCGGGGUCGGCCGUGCGCGGCAGCGCGUGGGGCCGCUCCAGGACAUUGUGGGUGAACCCCUCCUCGAAGGCGUCGAGCGCCGCCGCCGCCGCGCGCUGGAAGAAGUUGAGGCUCUGCCCGUCCUUGCCGCUGCCGCUCUGCUUCUGCGGCGAGGCAAUGGCAGGCAGCGCGGACUGCUCGUACCCGGGAACCUUCCUGGUGGACGGCGAUGA
rnacentral:rRNA from 1 species